rnacentral:misc_RNA from 1 species
GUAGGUGAACCUGCGGAAGGAUCAUUAUUGAAUAAGCUUGGUUGGGUUGUUGCUGGCUCUUAGGGGCAUGUGCACGCCUAACACCAAUCUUCUUACCACCUGUGCACCUUUUGUAGACUUGGAUAUCUCUCGAGGAAACUCGGUAUGAGGACUGCUGUGCGUCAAAGCCGGCUUUCCUUACAUUUCCGGUCUAUGUCUUCAUAUACACCAUUUGCAUGUCUACGAAUGUUAUUAUCGGACUUGACUGUCCAAUAAACCUUAUACAACUUUCAACAACGGAUCUCUUGGCUCUC